GACGAACGCUGGCGGCGUGCCUAAUACAUGCAAGUCGAACGCUUCUUUCCUCCCGAGUGCUUGCACUCAAUUGGAAAGAGGAGUGGCGGACGGGUGAGUAACACGUGGGUAACCUACCCAUCAGAGGGGGAUAACACUUGGAAACAGGUGCUAAUACCGCAUAACAGUUUAUGCCGCAUGGCAUAAGAGUGAAAGGCGCUUUCGGGUGUCGCUGAUGGAUGGACCCGCGGUGCAUUAGCUAGUUGGUGAGGUAACGGCUCACCAAGGCCACGAUGCAUAGACGAACUGAGAGGGUGAUCGCCCACCCUGGGGCUGAGACACGGCCCAGACGCCUACGGGAGGCAGCAGUAGGGAAUCUGCGGCAAUGGACGAGAGUCUGACAGAGCAACGCCGCGUGAGUGAAGGAGGUUUUCGGAUCGUAAAAAUCUGUUGUUAGAGAAGAACAAGGACGUCAGUAACUGAACGUCCCCUGACGGUAUCUAACCAGAAAGCCACGGCUAACUACGUG
rnacentral:rRNA from 1 species